AUAUCAAUAAGCGGAGGAAAAGAAACCAACAGGGAUUGCCUUAGUAACGGCGAGUGAAGCGGCAAAAGCUCAAAUUUGAAAUCUGCCUUUGGCCGAGUUGUAAUUUGAAGAUGGCAUUUAGGAGUUGUCCUUGCUCAAGUUCCUUGGAACAGGACAUCAUGGAGGGUGAGAAUCCCGUGAUGCGAGGGUAGCAAUUCUGUGUUAUUUGCUUUCGACGAGUCGAGUUGUUUGGGAAUGCAGCUCUAAGUGGGUGGUAAAUUCCAUCUAAAGCUAAAUAUUGGCGAGAGACCGAUAGCGAACAAGUACUGUGAAGGAAAGAUGAAAAGAACUUUGAAAAGAGAGUGAAAAAGUACGUGAAAUUGUUGAAAUGGAAGGGCUUGAAGCUAGACAUGGUGUUUAUGUUCCACUUUCCUUUGGGGAUGUGUACUCGUAUUCACUGGGCCAGCAUCAGUUUGGAGAGUAGGAUAAAAGGCGAGGAAUGUGGCAGCUUGCUGUGUUAUAGCCUCGCUUAAUACUACUACUCUGGACUGAGGACCGCUUAUAGGAUGCUGGCG
rnacentral:rRNA from 2 species